rnacentral:rRNA from 1 species
CCUACGGGUGGCAGCAGUGGGGAAUAUUGCACAAUGGGGGAAACCCUGAUGCAGCGACGCCGCGUGAGUGAAGAAGUAUCUCGGUAUGUAAAGCUCUAUCAGCAGGGAAGAAAAUGACGGUACCUGACUAAGAAGCCCCGGCUAACUACGUGCCAGCAGCCGCGGUAAUACGUAGGGGGCAAGCGUUAUCCGGAUUUACUGGGUGUAAAGGGAGCGUAGACGGCGCUGCAAGUCCGGAGUGAAAGCCCAUGGCUUAACCAUGGUACUGCUCUGGAAACUGUUUCCCUUGAGUAUCGGAGAGGUCAUCGGAAUUCCUAGUGUAGCGGUGAAAUGCGUAGAUAUUAGGAAGAACACCAGUGGCGAAGGCGGAUGACUGGACGACAACUGACGGUGAGGCGCGAAAGCGUGGGGAGCAAACAGGAUUAGAUACCCUGGUAGUC